rnacentral:rRNA from 1 species
UACGGAGGGGGCUAGCGUUGUUCGGAAUUACUGGGCGUAAAGCGCACGUAGGCGGCUUUGUAAGUUAGAGGUGAAAGCCCAGGGCUCAACCCUGGAAUUGCCUUUAAGACUGCAUCGCUAGAAUUGUGGAGAGGUAAGUGGAAUUCCGAGUGUAGAGGUGAAAUUCGUAGAUAUUCGGAAGAACACCAGUGGCGAAGGCGACUUACUGGACACAUAUUGACGCUGAGGUGCGAAAGCGUGGGGAGCAAAC